rnacentral:lncRNA from 10 species
CCACCCUCUGGAGCCGCCUGGAGCCCAUGGGUGCCAGAGCCCUACCUCCAUCAGCUUGAAAGCAGCCAUACACACUUUUAAAUGAAUAAGCAUGGCUGUGCUCCAACUAACUUGAUUUACAAAAAUAGGUGAUGGGCCCGAUUUGGUCUGUGGGCUGUAAUUUGCCAACCUCUGGUUUAGAUGCUUCAGGACAGUGAGACAAUGACAGCUGCCACAUACUGAGGGUCUACUAGGACUGGCCACUGUGCUAGGCACUUUAUAUAGAUUUCUAAAAUAAGUAACUUUUUGUUAAAAAUGUUCAGAUCUUGAUUUUCUAGGGCAGAUCCAAUUUUACACCAUUUAAUCCUAAAUUUUUAGUAAAAGCCAUGUGUUGUAAUAGAGCGAGGACUUUGGAGGUGGACAAACCUCAGUUCAAAUCCUAGCACCAUCAUUUUACUUACUACCUGUGUUACAACUGGCAAAUUACUUCACUCUAAGCUUCAGUUUUCUCAUCUGUAAAAUGGAGAUAAUACCUGAUUCAAAGAGUAUGUGAGAGUAUUAAAUGAGAUAAUAUAUAUCAAUUAUUUAUCACAGUGGGUAACAUACAUAGGGAUUCAAUAAAUGAGAGCUGUUAUUAUUAUUAUUGGAUUUACUUGUUUUAAGUUUGUAUAACUUCACUAAGAAAUUCAUAAACAAGAAAAUAAACCUUUGCCAGCCCAACUUGUGUAACGUUUAGGUCAAAAGCUAUGGUCCUUAUAAAUAAAUCCUUGCCAAAAACGGUCAAGACAAACACUGGGCUUGCCUCAUGGCUCCGUGAACAUGCAGUGCAGUGGGAGGCGGCAUGAUGGGUUCAGGGCUGCGAGUCCCAGUGCAGGCCACCAUUCAUGCUUUCCUAGCAUAUUGUACUUCUCUCAAUAGCAACUGUCCCAAGGAUACUGAAAUGAUCAAUUCUGCAAUUAGUUUCAUUGUCUUACUUCUUCCGUUAGAAUGUACCAGUGCCUGCAUGUAGCAGACACUCAAUAUAUAUUUGUUAAAAUAAAUCAAUGAGAGGGACAAGAGGCCUGCGUUCUGGCCUAAUAUGGGGGGAGUUGGGAAAGUUACUUUCUCUCUUUGGGCCUCAGUUUCCCCAUUUAUAAAAUAAGGAUUUGGAUGAGAUGAUCCAUUAGGUCCUUCCAGCAUAACUGACCCAAUAGAGAAGGUCAAAACAACGUCAAGUUAGUUGAUUCUGUUCUUAAAUUCAAUAAACUUUACUCAGUACCUGGUGGAUGCUGGACUUUGUGUUAAUUCACAGAGAUGAGAUAUAUCAUCUGCCCUAAAAAAUUUUACAUUCUCUUUAUUUAUACCAUACUUUGUUCCAGGAAGGGUUUAAAAUAGGUCUUAUAAUCACAAACCAUACUUCUGAAAGUGAACCUUGUGAAAUAGUAGUUCUAUGAGGUCCUCAAGAAGAAGCUCCUGCAGUCAAAUAAGUUUGGAAAACGUUGCAUCCUAUAUUCUUAUUGUAGAAAGUCACACUGAAUAUCAAUAUAUUAAAGGCUCCAAGAAGUCUUAGAAUAAAGAAAGCUGCUUAUUCGAUUACUAGAGCAUUAUCCAAUUUGACCUCAGAACUCUUUACCCCACCCAGUAACCUGUGUAAUAUUCCAUUCCAUGGAACCCCCUCUGGGAAGCCCUGCUCUAGUGAACUCCUGUAGGCACAUGGCAUCUUGGGCACAUAGUCCAUGCUGCUCUGAGGCUGCCUGAAAAUAUCAUCACCAGACCUUUAGUGGGAUUGGGUCAAUGAAUCAUUGAGGUGCCAGUUUGGAAGAUGUGAAGCAGGUGUUCUCAGGGAGGGUUAGCUCUAGAUGUGGAAUCACAGAGAAUCACAAAUGUGGAAAUCCACAGUCAAUUUCUUCAAAUGGACCAA